GAUGAACGCUGGCGGCGUGCCUAAUACAUGCAAGUCGAGCGAACAGACGAGGAGCUUGCUCCUUUGACGUUAACGGCGGACGGGUGAGUAACACGUGGAUAACCUACCUAUAAGACUGGGAUAACUUCGGGAAACCGGAGCUAAUACCGGAUAACAUGUUGAUUCGCAUGGUUCAACAGUGAAAGACGGUCUUGCUGUCACUUAUAGAUGGAUCCGCGCCGCAUUAGCUAGUUGGUAAGGUAACGGCUUACCAAGGCAACGAUGCGUAGCCGACCUGAGAGGGUGAUCGGCCACACUGGAACUGAGACACGGUCCAGACUCCGACGGGAGGCAGCAGUAGGGAAUCUUCCGCAAUGGGCGAAAGCCUGACGGAGCAACGCCGCGUGAGUGAAGAAGGGCUUCGGAUCGUAAAACUCUGUUAUUAGGGAAGAACAAAUGUGUAAGUAACUAUGCACGUCUUGACGGUACCUAAUCAGAAAGCCACGGCUAACUACGUG
rnacentral:rRNA from 1 species